AAAGAGAAAAUUUUUUAUUCGCUAGCGGAAUUUACUCUUCUCGGGUAAUAAUCGAAUUCGCUUAAUCUGUUAAUUAGAAUAAUUUUUCCCUCUCAAUUGUUGUUGUUAAUUUUUCUUUUCCUUAAUUUAGUUAAUUGUAAUUUCUUUUGUUUUUUUUAUGUUAUUCUGUUAAUGAACAACAGAUAAUGUGACUGUGAAGUUUUGGUUUUCGUUUGGUUCAAUUGAUUAGUUGAUUUGAUUGUGAUUCUAUUUAGUUGUUUUCUUUUCUCUUUGUUAAUUUUUCGUCUCCAUUUUUUUUAGGCCUUCACUUACCCGAUCAACAAGAUCCUCCAGUGAAUGAGCAAGUUUUAUGGCAACAGUUUUAUCAUCUAAUUCUUCAUAUUUGAAAUAAUUAAUAUCACUUAAACUAUUGUCCACGGCUUCUAAUUUAAUCUCCAUCCGUGGGUGCACUUCUACCCUGAAAACCUCAUGACCUAUUGGUGGGCAUCCGAUUGUAAAGAAUCAUUGCCAUUGUGGUUUUGGAUAAAAUCACCGGUAAAUCACCACCAAAAGAGUAACAAAUUGUGAUGGAAAACAAGCCAACAUGAACAAGAAUGAAAUCGAAGAAUCGGUGUUGAUGAUCACAAGUUGACCGAGAAAAAAGUUACAAUAGAAUAAGAUGAAAAAGAGAAGUGAUUAGCUGUUAUUCUUUUAUUCUAUUCUAUUCAAGCCAAUAAGAGAUGAUAAUGAAGAAGAAGAAGAUGGAGAAGAAGAAGAACCAAAAAACCUAAUAAACCGAUCAGACGAUUAAUUCAUCGACCAAUUGAUCAGUUAAUAAGAAAGAGAAGAUUUCAUGUUGGAUUUUGUUUUAUUGUUCUGUUGAUCAACUAAACCAGAAUCGAAUCUUUUUUUUCAGCUUUUCUAAAUUGUUCUCUUUUGAUUCACUUUCACUUGGGCAAAAUCAAAAUCUAUCGUUAAAAAAUCAAUAGAACAAUCGGAUUUAAUGCUCCUUUUAAUUACUUGGUCUUCAGUUUUUCUUGGUGAUUAAUUGGUACCUGAGAACAUGAUUAGCACCAAUUUAAGUUUCAUACUGUUAAUCAUGAAAACGUGUUCACAAUUAUAUAAGUGUAUUAAUCGAUAAUCAAAAAAGUAAAAUGGAUUCGAAUGGGAAACAAAACAAUUAGUUAAUUAAUUAGGAUGACCCCUCGUCGCCUACAAUGAUAAUCAAUUUAAUUUCUUCCGUUUCAAAACCUAUUUUUUUGUUGUUCGUAAGUAAAAGUUACAAACAUGAUUAUCGAGGUUGAUUUAUGGAUUUUGGAUUAAGAUCACUUACCGACUUGAAGAUUCUCAGCGACCCUUUCGAACCUACGAUUCUCUCCGAUUGGAUAAAAUUUACAACCUGAAAGCGAAAAUUUAUUUAUUUAUAUUGAUGAAACAAUAGAAGGAGGAUUUAAAGAAAGUAAAACAAUAAUCAGUAAAUUAAUCAACAGGAGUCAAGUGAUUGGAUUAAUAGUGAAACCAGCGGAUGAAUCGAUUGAUGGAAAAAAAAUUAAUCAUUAUUAAGCUUGGAUGGUAAGAGAAGAUGGGAAAAGAUUGGAUUGAUUAAGAGCAAAUAUAAAUACAACAGAAUAUGGAAUUGGAUUAACAGUAAAUUAAUUGGUCAGAAUAUAGAUGAGAUUUAAUUAACUAGCAACAAUCAAGCGAUUGCUGAACAUCCUCAACAUCGUUGGACUGAAGGUAAUUUAAUCAUCGUUGGUGUCGUUUGAAAUCAAACUGUGAUGAAAUUAAAUCAAAUUAUUGAGCUUGAGGUAAUACAAUUAAAAGGAAGAGAGUUUUGAUUAUGAUGAUCAAGUUGGUGGUGGAAGAUGAUGAUAGUGCAAAAGGUUAUCAUCUAAGGUGGAAGAUUCAAAUGUCGACAGAAAAGAAAGAGGAAAAGAGAGACAAAGUAAUUUAAAUAAAACGAAAAUGAAGAGAAAAAAAAAUUCGAGCAAUCAAGUAACCAUGAUGAUGCCAAAUCGUGAUGAUGGUUUACCUGAAUUUCUGAAUCAAUUCAAACUGUUACCAUUUUGUGUAUGGCACUGGCAACGAAAGGAAGAAAACAAGAUGAUGGAAAUUGAUGUAAAAGAAAGAGAGAAUGAAAGAAGAAGAUGAUGAUGAUGAGAUGGAAAUUUGAUUUUCAAUUUCACUCGAUAAAUUAUCAAGACUUGAUUUUCACCAGUUGAAAAAGUUUGACUAACAUUUAGUUAAUCAUAUCAAGGUGAACCGCGACAAUUUACCAACAAUCAAGUAAUCAUUAUCAUCCAUCCUUAUCCUGAUAAUGUUAUUUUCAAUAAACCUGAGACAUUUACCAAUGGAGGUGAUGAUGAGGAUAAUCAACUUACAGAUUAUGGAUUAACUUUGUUGACGUUUUUAUUGUUAUUUUAAUAAUCAUUUUCUAGGCUCAUUAAUUGUUAACUGUUGAUUUAAAAUUUACUCUUUAAUCAUUUGGUUAGGUUUUCCUUUUGGAGGAUCAAGAAAAGAUGAUCGGGAUUAAGAUGAAAAAUAUUACAAUCACUUUGGACACAAAAAAUGUUGAUAAACAAUUAAACUGAUAACGGUAAUUAUGCAUAUCCGAUAAUUUGUAAUUAACACGUUUCGUGUUGAUUAAUUGAUUUGAUUUCCGAUUAUGAUGAUGAUUAGUUGACACUCUUGUUAAAUCACAAUUAUUAUAU